rnacentral:lncRNA from 1 species
CUCGAGAAUCCCACAGACGGGGGAGCCUGGCAGGCUACAGUCCAUGAGGUGUGCCCCUGACUUGACUGCAUUAAUAACCCACUCCUCCCGCCGGUUCCAUAAACACAGGGGCGGCAGCCAGGGCAGGAACGAGCACGUCAGGAACUUCGGCUGCUCCGAUUUGUUGAAUAAACAGAGUGGAAGGUGUUGCAUAGAUGAAUCAACACCUACGUCUGAAGCCGCCCCCGCUGCUGUCGAUUUGCAUAAGUGGGUUUCUCAGGAAGCAGCUCUGGAAGCCCGGGAAGAGAACAGUCCCUGCUGUGAGAUGGUUAGCAUGAUGAGAGCGGGGGUCUUUGGAAGUUGCAGGGAUACUUCAAUGGACUUUUCUGCGCUGGAGUGAACGUUGGCGGACAUGCCACACAGCCUCCCUGCAGACUGAAGUUGUCAGCGUGGGAUUGAAACGUAGGGUCUCUCAUUAAACCCAUGCUGAUUUGGUUAUUUUUAAGGUGUUUUUUUUUUUUAAUGGGCUGCUUAAAAGCCUUUCUUGAGUUUAUCACAGUGUUAUCUCUGUUUUAUGUUCUGACAUUUUUGGCCAUGAGGCCUGUGGGAAUCCUAGCUCCCUGACCAGGGAUGGAACCCACGUCCCUUGCAUUGGAAGG